UAGGUAGAAGCCCGCUGGAUUGGGCGCUUGGUUGUUAACUAAGGGUUUGCAGGAUCGAGGCCUGCCUGUCUAG
rnacentral:tRNA from 1 species